rnacentral:rRNA from 1 species
GAUGAACGCUAGCUACAGGCUUAACACCUGCAAGUCGAGGGACGGGCGCGCGGGUGAGUAACACGUAUCAAACCCGCCCGUUACGCGUGGAUAACAUUUCGAAAGCAAGAUUAACACAAGAUGUAAAGGACGGGGAUGCGAUCCAUUAGGUUGUUGGUGAGGUAACGGAUCACCAAGCCUUCGAUGGAUAGGGGUUCUGAGAGGAAGGUCCCCCACAUUGGAACUGAGACACGGUCCAAACUCCUACGGGAGGCAGCAGUGAGGAAUAUUGGUCAAUGGGCGUUAGUCUGAACCAGCCAAGUAUCGUGAAGGAUGAAGGCUUAUUGGUCGUAAACUUCUUUUAUAUAAGAAUAGGUAUUAUAUGAAUAAGGAUCGGCUAACUCCGUGCCAGCAGCCGCGGUAAUAC